UCGCCUUUUUUUUUUUUAACGUCAUGUUUUGCCUCUUCCAAUUCUCCGUGUUGUUGCCGAUUGGUUAAUGCAAAUCUCCGUUUCUGAUCCACUUUCAAUCAUUCAAUCCUUUCUUAACUCUAUCUUGAUGAGUGAGCUAUCUUUCCACCUCCCUUUGUUUCUCUGCUUAUAUAUUGAGAAACUCUUUUGUAGAAGAUUACAUUGAUUCCUCAAAUCUCAGGCGCGCAUCUCAUGCUUCCCUAUAUUUCAACUACAACCCACCAAGCCAUUGGAUUCGGGAUUACGCUUCCGUCUGAUUCACAGGCCUCCAGCCGCUUUAUCUCUCUCCUAUUACAUGUAAUCCUAACCUUCACCGUCUUGCCAAAUCUCAGGUGUAACUGUUGUCUUCCAUCACCAUGCUUCAUCAAAAUAUCUACAUGAUUGUAACAGAGGAAAACCAUUCAGCCGCUUCAGUAUCCAUCCUCUCUCACUAUAUACUAACAGAAAAGGGGAAGCAAGACGUCAGCUCUCGAUCAUUACUACGCUGGUUGGAAAGGAGUAUUAUGAUAAUUCCGAACAAAGUUAUGAAGGCAGUUAUAGAAGACUCAAGUACGUUGGUUACGAAACAGAAAGUUUCCUCAUACUGACUUUCUUGAGAGAAGUAUCAAACGUUUUGCCGAUACCCUGGGACCCUUUGAUUCCAUGUAAGUUUUUUUUUUUUUUUUUGAACAACUGAUUCCAUGUAAGUAAAGCUUCAGAAUUCGAUGUACCUUUAUUUCAGAUUGUAUUUUUGUGUGUGAUGUUUGUUAUAAUUCUACUACUGGUGGUUCUUUCGACCUCCAGUUUCCUUUAUGUCAACCCAUAUCAAGUUUAAGGAACACAAGGCCACAAAAGCUCUUAAAAUUGCUAAAACCAGUGGUUGAAUGAAAAGUUCUCUUAGAACAUUUGGAAAUCAUGAUAGUUUAGAAAGAACUACUUUGGUUUCAGCUGAGCCCAAAAUCUUAUUUUGGAAGAAGUGUUGAUAAGGAGCCCACAAUCGGAUAGUAGCCACUCAUAUACAACUCCAGAAUUAGUUCUAACGAUCAUUCAUAUACAACUCAGGUAGCCACUCAAUUUGAUAGUAGAACAUUUUACUCUAGGUUUUAUUCCUGUGAUGCUAUUGAUGAUGACUUCUCAUGGUUUGGAGCUUAGUAUCUUAACAUUUUUGUGUGGAGGUUACAUGGUAAGUGUGUGUCCCCACAUCAGACCAUAUUAUGUAUUUGACUCUUAGUUUAUAAGUUUUUUGGUAUUGUCCUAAAAAUAUAUUUUCCUGUCAUGUUGCAGUUAUGGAGGGUUUUAUAUGGGGUAUUCUCUUCUGCAACGAGGACUAAAGGGAUUAAGAUCUCAAUUUUAUCUUUCGAGAUCGCUAACACCAUUGUUAAAGGCUCAAAUCUUAUGCAUUCUCUGUCAAUGAUAGCAUCACACAUUUGAGAGAGGCUGUGUUACCUUCAGAAGGUGUACAAAACCAAUAUCAAAGGAUAUGGAUGAAUUCUGGAGGAUAGUGCUACAGACUAAAGGUAGCUCCUGCUUUGAGAAUAUUUCUCUAUUGUUUAUGUAUACUCUUCACACUGUUUUUCUAUUUGUGGCUUGGAGAUAAUCAAAGCUAUGUCCUGAAUAGAUAAUCGUUGAAGAUUUUUUCUGGAGAGGUAGUGUGUUUUGAGUUUGCGUUUUUCUUACGUCCGAUGAUACAAUGUAUUUGAUCGUCAUGAUGGCUAAAAAGUAGACAUAUGUA